rnacentral:rRNA from 1 species
ACGAUUACUAGCAAUUCCGACUUCGUGCAGGCGAGUUGCAGCCUGCAGUCCGAACUGGGACGUUGUUUCUGAGUUUUGCUCCACCUCGCGGUCUUGCUUCUCUUUGUUUAACGCCAUUGUAGUACGUGUGUAGCCCAAGUCAUAAAGGGCAUGAUGAUUUGACGUCAUCCCCACCUUCCUCCGUUUUGUCAACGGCAGUCUGGCCAGAGUCCUCUUGCGUAGUAACUGACCAUAAGGGUUGCGCUCGUUGCGGGACUUAACCCAACAUCUCACGACACGAGCUGACGACAACCAUGCACCACCUGUCUCUGCGUCCCGAAGGAAACACAUAUUUCUAUGUGCGUCGCAGGAUGUCAAGACUUGGUAAGGUUCUUCGCGUUGCGUCGAAUUAAACCACAUACUCCACUGCUUGUGCGGGCCCCCGUCAAUUCCUUUGAGUUUCAACCUUGCGGUCGUACUCCCCAGGUGGAUUACUUAUUGUGUUAACUGCGGCACUGAAG